rnacentral:rRNA from 1 species
UACAGAGGGGGCAAGCGUUGUUCGGAAUUACUGGGCGUAAAGGGCGCGUAGGCGGCCUUCUAAGUCGAACGUGAAAUCCCCGGGCUCAACCCGGGAACUGCGUCCGAUACUGGUUGGCUUGAAUCCGGGAGAGGGAUGCGGAAUUCCGGGUGUAGCGGUGGAAUGCGUAGAGAUCCGGAAGAACACCGGUGGCGAAGGCGGCCUGCUGGGCUAGGGCUGACACUGAGGCGCGACAGCGUGGGGAGCAAACAGG